GAGACUCUGUGCGCGUGCAUAUCAAUAAGCGGAGGAAAAGAAACUAACAAGGAUUCCCUUAGUAACGGCGAGUGAAGCGGGAAGAGCUCAAAUUUGAAAUCUUCAAGGUUCUACCUUGACGAAUUGUAGUUUAAAGAAGUGUUUUCUGUUGAAGUUUUGGUAAAAGUUCUUUGGAAUAGGACAUCAUAGAGGGUGAGAAUCCCGUAUUUGGUCAUUCUUUCUAGCUUUGUGAUACACUUUCAACGAGUCGGAUUGUUUGGGAAUGCAGUCCAAAAUGGGUGGUAAACUUCAUCUAAAGCUAAAUAUUGGCGAGAGACCGAUAGCGAACAAGUACCGUGAGGGAAAGAUGAAAAGAACUUUGAAAAGAGAGUUAAACAGUACGUGAAAUUGUCAAAAGGGAAGCGUUUGACACCAGUGUUGUUUUUCCGAAAAUCAAUUACGAAUGUUUUGUUUUUGAGGAGUUAUGACUUCAUCGGCUUGCUCCUUUCUUUAUCGAAACUUUCUUAAUGCACUUUUCGGUUAACAAGUCAACAUCAAUUUCUUUUGUUGUAAAGAGGUCAUGAGGAAGGUGGCUUUCUUUUCGGAGAAAGUGUUUAUAGCCUUGUGCCUCUGCAAUCGGAGAGAUUGAGGUCUGCAGCGUAGAUCCUUCGGGGUUAGAUACAGUUUGUGCUAAGUUAUAGCCUUUCAUAGACAACUUGUUGACUAUGAUCAGUCAUGUAGCUUACUCGCUUAUGCUAUUUUACCUACGCUUAGGAUGUUGAACUCUAUCACACACAG
rnacentral:rRNA from 1 species